rnacentral:lncRNA from 1 species
GAAUUCGAGGGUCGUGUCGAGCUACUUCAGUCCCGUGUGUCCGAAAUGGGCUCCCGGAAACAAGCAAUGGAACAACACUGAUUGAACUAUUUGUCGAUAGCGGAGGCAGGAUUUUCACCAAGAGUUUUCAUCAUCUACUAUAUAUACCUAAAAAAAAAAAUAGUUUUGACUGUCAUGUCGAGCUACUUCAGUCCCGUGUUUCCGAAAUUCGAUGUUGCAAGUAAGCAAUGGAACAACAUGAAUUAUGGCGCUGACAAGAUUUUCACUAAGAGGGUUACGUUCAUUAUCUACUAUAUAUAUAUAUAUAUAUAUAUAUAUACCCAAAAAAAAAGUUGUGAUUGUGUAUAUUUAGAUAAUUAUGGCGGGAUGGUUGAGAUCUCUUCCAUCCUUAACUAGUAGUAUCAGUUUUUAGUCCGGAGAAUGGAAAAAACUCUUUUCGUAGUGUUGUCCCAGAAAUAUGUCUUGCAAUGUGCAAAUUUAAAUUAGUCGAAUUCUAAUGCGGGUGUCGAACAUCGGGAUGAGGAAUGACUUUUCUAAGAAGACAUUGAUGAUGAUGCUAUAAAUUAUUCUCUAUAUACUAUCUUUUUGGAUUCAUUUAUACUUCUAAACAAAGCUAAUUAAUUGCUUGCUUUUUGAAAAUUCAAAAUAUAGAUAUUCGAGAGAUGAGGCACAAGUAUCCCUCCAAACUAUAUCCGAAAUUGUUAUGACACGUUUAAAUUUUGUGAGGAUCCUAUACCACUACGGACAUUUGUUUUUUUUUUAUUCCAGAUUCAGACGUCUGAAUCUGAAUGCAUGUCUGAAUGAUCAAGAUGUUGUCUCUAGAUUUGAAAACUAAAUGAUCAAGACUGUUUGUUUUUCAACAUCUGAAUGUGCAAAAAAGAUUUAUUUGUAUAUAUAAUAAAAUAAAAAAUACAAUUCAAAUAAAAAAUUAAUUAUAUAUUAUAAAAGUAUGUAAUUUAAUACAACAAAAUUAUUAAUUGAUUGAGAAAAAACAUUUAUGUUUGUUAGUGAUAUUGGAGAUGGUUUAUAAUAGUAGUUGCGGUGACAAUGAUUGAUAUUAGUGAUAAAUAAUGUUGGUGGUGAUAGUUGUAAUGGUUGGUAAUGUAGUGACUGUUAUGAUAGUAGCGAUUGAUGGUGGUGGUAGUGGUUUUGAUGUGACGUUGCUUGAUGUUAGUAGUUUGAGGUGUUGAUCGUGUUGGCUGAAACAUGAAUGCAUGAUGGUCGAUGAUGUGUUGGUGCUAGUUGGAGAUGUUGUUUGUUGGGAUGGUGCAGAUGGUUGUUAGUAGAGAUAAAUUGUAGCGGUGGUAGUGGUUGAAGUGGUGGUAGAGGUGACGUUACUAGUGAUAAUGGUAGUGGCGGCCGAAGAAUGUGCGGAGGUUGUGAUGUAUUAGUGGUAGUUAGUGACUGCAAAAAAUUAUAUAAUAAAUCUAAGAAAAAUUAAUGAUCGCGCACAGCGCGAAAAGGUUCUCUAGUAGAUUAUAUGUUUUUGAAUUAGUUUUUAAUUUAUAAGUCAAUUGACUAAAUCAUAUCAAUAAUAUGCUUUUAACAUUAAAUUUAAUCUAUGGUUUUCUGAUAACAUUAAAUUUGUCUGUUUGUAUUCCAACUUUUAGGUGAUUAAAAUAUUAUUAUUUAAUAUUUAAUUAGAUAUUUUAUUAUAUUUUGAUUUAUUGCAAGGGCAAAAUCAUAAUCCAACUUUUAAGCUUGAAACUUUCCAUUUUUAGCAUAAUAUGAAUAUGAAUGAAUAUAAUUAAUAUAUCUGUACUUUUUAAAUUUUUUCUAAAGGUACUUUUUAGUUAGGCAAACUUUGACUCCAAGAAUGAUUCUCUGCCAAGAGAUUUCUAUUAGGCACAUGCCUAUUUCAAGUUAAUAUUUAAUAUAGCCAAAAGGAUGGCCACAUUAUAUUUAUCUUGGUUAAAAUUAAUAAUAUCUCAAGUUAAUUUUGUUGCUAACUUGGAAGGCCAGUGGUGAAUUUUGUGUUUUAGGUACAUUAUUUUUUUUCCAAAUUUAUUUUAAUGUGUGAUGAAAUCUAAGUAGCUUUGUCUUGUUGUCCAUUCGAGUAGUCGUAGUAUUACUCUUGUUUCUUGCUCUUCGAUAUCUAUUAUUAUUUGUUGUUUCUUGUAGUUUGAUUAUAGUAGUAUUAUGUUGUAGUAUUGUUAUGCUUUUAUUAUCUAUUAUUUUCAUUACUGUCUGCUGUUUCUUUUAUUUUCUGACUUCUUGUGUAGAUUGUUUUAUCAUGAAGCCGAGGGUCUAUCGGAAACGACCGCUCUGCUUCUAAGGUAGAGGUUAGGUUUGCGUACACCCCACCCUUCCCAGACCCCACUUUGUGGGAUUACACUUAUGCACUUGUGUUUUGAUAAUUAGUUAAGUUCAUGAAGAGAUCUCAAGUCCAUGGCUUACUUUGAUUGAUAUUAUGAAAUUGGCUGCAUUAGAACCUGACUAAAUCCGAAUUCACGCUGGAAGUCCGUGAAGUGCUUGUGUGAUACUGUUACAGGUCGUUAUCAAAUAUGGAAAGAAGCAUAGCUGAGGAAAACAAGAAGAAUCUUGAGUUUAUUGAAGAGUUGACUACCAAUGUUGAUGAGGUCCAAAAGAGAGUUCUUGAUGAAAUCCUCACUCGAAAUGCCAACGUUGAGUACUUGCAGCGCCUUAAUCUCAAUGGUCACACUGAUAGAGAGACAUUCAAGAAAGUUGUUCCUAUUAUCACCUAUGAAGAUAUUAAGUCCGAUAUCAAUCGUAUAGCCAAUGGCGAUACAUCUCCAAUCCUCUGCGCCAGCCCGUAUCUGAAUUCUUCACAAGGUCCUUCCUUUUUGACUUUACAGAUGCAAAAUGAGCUUACUUAUCUAGUUAGUAGAUUGCUUGUCCCUCGUUUCAGUUUCAAUUUAAAUGAUGUUGUUUGACAGCUGAUGUCUGAUGAAAGAUAUGAAGAUUCUCGGAAAUUGUGGUUUUAAACAUGGCGUAGACAUUAUUGUGGCUAUAGAAGCAUGUCAUUAAGGGUAAAAUGAAAGUUCAAAGUCAAAUCAUCUGUGAAUAUAGAAAGUUGUCAUUCAUCUUGUAACAGACUGAUAAGGAAGAGUGUAACAUAAUGUGGAAGAGUGGGAGUAUCUCAUUACGGUUUUGUAGUUCUCGUAUGUGAAUCCUUAUUCCUUACUAUUUGUUAAAGGGUGAUUUCAGUGUGCAGUUCUAGGACUUCGAGAGGGGAGAUGAAAUUGAUACCAACAAUAGAGGAAGAAGGUGGGAGGAGAUCACUAUUUUUCGGGCUCAUGAGGUCUGUUAUAAGUAAAUUUGUUCCAGAUUUGGACAAGGGCAAAGGAAUGUACUUUUUUUUCUUAAAACCUGAAGCCAAGACUCCGGGAGGAAUAUUAGCUCGUGCUGCUACUAGUAAUCUUUUUAAGAGUCAUCAUUUCAGUAGCAGCAAUAAUCGUCUGAUGUCCUCCACGAGUCCAACUGAAGCCAUUCUGUGCCUAGACUCUUACCAAAGCAUGUACUGCCAAAUGCUUUGUGGCCUCUUCCAAAACAGAGAAGUCGUCCGUGUUGGCGCAGGGUUUGGUGCCGGUUUGAUCCGAGCCAUGCGAUUCUUGGAGGAUCACUGGUCUCUACUAUGUAAUGAUAUACGAACAGGAACCAUUAACAACAAAAUUACUGAUCCUUCAGUGAGAGAGGCUGUGAUGAAAAUCCUCAAACCCGACUUGGAGUUGGCUGAUUUCAUCGAGGCUGAAUGCAUCAAGGAUUCAUGGCAAGGGAUAAUCACUAGGCUGUGGCCUAAUACCAAGUACGUGGAUGCAGUCGUGACUGGAAGCAUGUCUCAAUAUAUACCAACACUCGAUUAUUACAGCAAUAGCCUCCCUAUCGUCAGUGGAGCGUAUGCUUCCUCGGAGUGUUUCUUUGGGAUCAACUUGAACCCCUUUUGUAAGCCCAGCGAAGUCGCUUACACACUCAUUCCCACCAUGUGUUAUUUCGAGUUCUUACCAAUUCACAGGAGCAAUGAAGUCAUCAAUUCUAUUUCCACUCCCACACAACUUAAUGAGAAAGAGGAACAACAAUUGGUCGAUUUGGUUGAUGUCAAGAUUGGCCAAGAAUACGAGCUCGUUGUUACCACGUAUUCAGGUAUUUUUCAAUUUCCAAAUGAAAUGCUUUUUGACACAUUCAUAUUUUCCAUUUAUCUGUCAAACAUUUCUGCUAAUGCUUAGAUUUUCUUGAAUGUGUCGUUUCAGGACUCUAUCGAUACAGGGUUGGUGAUGUGCUUCGGGUUGCUGGAUACAAGAACAACACGCCUCAAUUCAACUUUACAUGCCGAGAAAAUGUAAUCUUGAGCAUCGAUUCUGACAAGACUGAUGAAUUUGAACUACAAAAUGCAGUAGAAAAUGCAGCAAUCAAUCUGAUGCCAUUCGAUGUACGUGUUACCGAGUACACCAGCUAUGCAGAUAUUGCCACCAUUCCAGGCCAUUAUGUCCUGUUUUGGGAGCUGAGCGUCAACCCGUCUUCCCCAGUUCCUUCUUCAGUCUUUGAAGACUGUUGCAUUUCCGUUGAAGAAUCUCUCAACAGCAUCUACCGACGGGGUCGCGCGUCUGACAAAUCCAUCGGGCCUCUGGAAAUCAGGAUAGUGGAAACAGGUACUUUUGACAAGCUCAUGGACUAUUGUUGCACUAGCUUAUUAGGUGCUUCCAUAAACCAAUACAAGACGCCCCGGUGCGUUAAACUUGCACCGCUCGUCGAGCUAUUGAAUUCGAGGGUCGUGUCGAGCUACUUCAGUCCCGUGUGUCCGAAAUGGGCUCCCGGAAACAAGCAAUGGAACAACACUGAUUGAACUAUUUGUCGAUAGCGGAGGCAGGAUUUUCACCAAGAGUUUUCAUCAUCUACUAUAUAUACCUAAAAAAAAAAAUAGUUUUGACUGUCAUGUCGAGCUACUUCAGUCCCGUGUUUCCGAAAUUCGAUGUUGCAAGUAAGCAAUGGAACAACAUGAAUUAUGGCGCUGACAAGAUUUUCACUAAGAGGGUUACGUUCAUUAUCUACUAUAU